rnacentral:rRNA from 1 species
UACGAAGGUGGCAAGCGUUACUCGGAAUUACUAGGCGUAAAGGGCAGGUAGGUGGUCUGAUUAGUCUGUUGUGGAAGCUCCCGGCUCAACUGGGAGAGGUCAACAGAUACUGUCAGGCUUGAGUAUAGGAGAGGUUACUGGAAUUCCCGGUGUAGCGGUGAAUGCGCAGAUAUCGGGAGGAACACCAAUGGCGAAAGCAGGUCACUGGGCCGCAACUGACGCUGAGGAGCGGAAAGCCAGGGGAGCAAACGGG